AUGGAGUGCUUACUCAAUACCAGGGGAGGAGCGGUGAGCGGAAGGAGGAGGGAAGUGGGACUUCAACAUGGCGGCUGUGGUACUGUGGUGACUACGGUGACGGUCUGGCCCGGGGCGGGCAGAGUUGGAGGUGGUAGUGUUCCUCUCCCUCGGGGCCGUCAGGAGCUCAGCAGGGACGGAGCCAGGGAGCCCGGUCGGCGGCAGCACCUUUCGGCUCCUGGCAUGGCGGCUGCAGCAUUCAGAUUUUCAUGGGACUUUCAGUUACCUUGAUGAUGUCCCAUUUAAGAUAGGAGACAGAUUCAAAACGCCAGCUAAAGUUGGUCUUCCUAUUGGCUUCUCCUUGUCUGAUUGUUUGCAGGUUGUCCGAGAAGUACAGUAUGACUUCUCCUUGGAAAAGAAAACCAUUGAGUUGGCUGAAGAUAUUAAGAAGAUCCAAGAAGCCCAGUGGGAAGCAGAGCGCAAGGCUGAGGAAGCAGAAGCUAAAGUGAAUUCUCAGAGUGGCCCCGAGGGUGACAGCAAAAUGAGCUCUCCAAGACCCACAGCGCAGCACCAUGCCGCCUCCUAUCAACCCCAUCCUCGCCAGCUUACAGCGCAACAGCAUCCUCACCCCGACUCGGGUCAGCAGCAGUGCCGCGAAGCAGAAGGUUCUCAGCCCGCCCCACGCAAAGGCAGACUUCAAUCCUGCUGACUUCGAGUGUGAAGAAGACCCAUGUGAUAAUCUGGAGUUUAAAACUAUUGAUGAGAAGGAAGAGCUGAGAAACAUUCUGGUGGGAACCAGUGGACCCAUUAUGGCCCAGUUAUUGGACAGUAACUUGCCUCGAGGUGGCUCUGGGUCUGUGUUACAGGAGGAGGAGGUCCUGGCCUCUCUGGAGCGGGCCACCCUAGAUUUCAAGCCUCUUCACAAACCCAAUGGCUUUGUAACCUUACCACAGCUGGGUAGCUGUGAAAAGAUGUCGCUGUCUUCCAAAGUGUCCCUCCCCCCCAUUCCUGCAGUAAGCAAUAUCAAGUCCUUGUCCUUCCCCAAACUUGACUCUGAUAACAGCAGUCAGAAGACACCCAAGAUGGCAAGCACUUUCCAUAGCACAUCCUGCCUCCGCAGUGGCACGUUCCGGAAUUCCCUAAAGCCUUCCACCCAAAGCAGUGCCAGUGAGCUCAAUGAGCAUCCUACCCUUGGGCUUUCAGCUUUGAACUUAGACAGUGGUGCAGAGGUGCCAACCCUGACCCCUCCCCAGACGCCUUCCCUGUCUGUCUUGUCUGUGUGCACAGAAGAAUCAGCACCUCCAAAUACGUGUCCCAUGGUCACACCUCCUAAUUUCUCAGUGUCACAAGUGCCCAACACUCCCAACUGUCCCCAGACUUACUCUGAACUGCAGGCGCUGUCCCCCAGUGAGCGGCACUGUGUGGAGACAGUGGUCAACAUGGGCUACUCAUAUGAGUGUGUCUUGAGAGCCAUGAAGAAGAAAGGAGAGAAUAUUGAGCAGAUUCUUGACUAUCUCUUUGCACAUGGACAGCUCUGUGAGAAGGGCUUUGACCCUCUUUUGGUGGAAGAGGCUCUGGAAAUGCAGCAGUGUUCAGAGGAAAAGAUGAUGGAGUUUCUUCAGCUGAUGAGCAAAUUUAAGGAAAUGGGCUUUGAACUGAAAGGUAUUAAGGAAGUUCUGCUAUUACACAACAACGACCAGGACAAUGCUCUGGAAGACCUCAUGGCAUGGGCGGGAGCCAGCUAAGACGAGGCCCUACCUAGGCCCUGCCAGAGCCACCCCUGCAGGAGGCCCUGAGGAGCCCCCGUGGGGAAGGAGAAGGGGCGCACUUCCGGAUUUCCUUUUGGGGGUGGAAGGUCAGGUGUGGAGACUGUGCUUGCCAAGUCUCUACAAGCUUAGGUCCUGAGCUGGGGAGAGAGUGGGUAAGAUUUGGGCAUGCACAUGCCCCCAGAACUGUCCUGGCUCCUUCCAUAUUAAAAGUAUUUGUAUCCUGA